UACGAAGGGUGCAAGCGUUGUUCGGAAUCACUGGGCGUAAAGAAUGCGUAGGCGGCUUGAUAAGUCAGGAGUGAAAUCCCAGGGCUCAACCCUGGAACUGCUCUUGAAACUAUCUUGCUAGAGUCCCGGAGGGGUUAGCGGAAUUCCGAGUGUAGAGGUGAAAUUCGCAGAUAUUCGGAGGAACACCAGUGGCGAAGGCGGCUAACUGGACGGGAACUGACGCUGAGGCAUGAAAGUGUGGGGAUCAAACAGG
rnacentral:rRNA from 1 species